UCUCCUUUAGGCCUUUUAUCCAAUUGGGUACACUGAGUUUUGGCUUCUCCCAACAUAAGGGGCACUUUUGAAAUCCAACUUGCUCUUAAUCUAGACAUCUUUUCAGACCCUAACAUUAAUGUCUGAGUCUCCUACUUCAUGGACAUUAACCCACGCAGCUUCAGUAUCCCAUGAUGUCCUAAACUCGUUGGCACAGUUUUGUUGCCCUAAAUUUUUAACUAUGGGUUUUUUUUUUCCACAAAAUAAUAAUAGAAAAAUAAAAGAAGCCACUACAAAAUUCCCAUUAACAAGCUAAUCAAUGCUGUGGUUAUUGUUUCAACGUCA
rnacentral:lncRNA from 1 species